GGUUAGUCACAGUUUAGCCACUGCACAGUCAGAGCAGCGCGGGAGCUGCUGCGUUUUGCUAGUGAGAGUAGCUGAGGGUUUGACUCUGAAGUCACAAAUGGCCACGGGUGGAAUCCUGAUCAAAGGAGGUAAAGUGGUCAACGAGGACUGCUCCACGUUCAGCGACGUCUACAUAGAAAACGGGAAAAUCGCCGAGGUGGGGCCGGACCUGCAGGUCCCGGCGGGGGCGCGGGUCAUCGAUGCCACCGGCAAACUGGUGAUUCCCGGCGGCAUCGACACGCACACGCACAUGGAGCUGGCGUUCAUGGGCACAAAGGCUGUGGACGACUUCCACAUCGGCACCAAGGCCGCUCUGGCUGGAGGCACCACCACCAUCCUGGACUUUGUCAUCCCCCAGAAAGGCAAGUCCCUCCUGGAGGCCUACGAGCGCUGGCGGAACACGGCCGACCCCAAGGUCUGCUGCGACUACUCGCUGCACGUCGCCGUCACGUGGUGGAGCGAGCAGGUCGGGAGGGAGAUGGAGACGCUGGCAAAGGAGAAAGGGGUCAACUCCUUCAAGAUGUUCAUGGCCUACAAGGACGUGUUCAUGCUGGCUGACGCAGAGCUCCUCGCCGCCUUCUCCCGCUGCAGGGAGAUCGGAGCCAUAGCUCAGGUGCACGCUGAGAACGGGGACCUGAUCGCAGAGGGGGCCAAGAAGAUGCUGUCCAUGGGCAUCACGGGGCCCGAGGGCCACGAGCUGUGCCGGCCCGAGGAGGUGGAGGCCGAGGCCACGCAGAGGGCCGUCACCAUCGCCCACUCGGUCAACUGCCCGCUGUACGUGGUGCACGUGAUGAGCAAGUCUGCGGCCAAGGUUGUGGCCGCGGCGCGCAGAGGCGGCCGUGUGGUGUUCGGGGAGCCCAUUGCAGCUGGGCUGGGCACAGAUGGAACCCACUACUGGCACAAGGACUGGGCCCAUGCCGCUGGCUUCGUCAUGGGCCCCCCCCUGCGGCCCGACCCCAGCACCCCUGGGUAUCUUAUGGAUCUGCUGGCCAACGACGACCUCAGCGUGACGGGAACGGACAACUGCACCUUCUCCGUGUGCCAGAAGGCUCUGGGUAAAGACGACUUCACCAAGAUCCCCAACGGCGUGAACGGCGUGGAGGACAGGAUGUCUGUGAUCUGGGAGAAGGGAGUGCACAGCGGCAAAAUGGACGAGAAUCGAUUUGUGGCCGUCACCAGCAGCAACGCGGCCAAAAUCUUCAACUUCUACCCGCAGAAGGGCCGCAUCGCCAAGGGCUCGGAUGCUGAUGUGGUUGUGUGGGACCCCAGAUCGACAAGCGUGGCUCUAACGCCCACCCCCCCCCCCAAACUCCCGGCAGGACGAUUUCAGCCAGAACCCACCACCAGGCCGUGGACUACAACAUCUUCGAGGGCAUGCAGUGCCACGGCGUGCCCGUGCUCACCGUGUCCAGGGGCGCGGUGGCGUACGAGCGCGGGCUGCUGAGCGCGACGCCAGGCCAUGGCCGCUUCAUCCACAGGAAGCCGUUCUCCCAGUUCGUUUACAAGAGAAUCGAGCAGAGGGAGCAGGUGGGAAAACCUUCAGCUGUGGUCAGAGAGCCGUACACGGGCCAAGUCGUAUCCGUGUGAGCGACCAGCACCUCAUCAGAGUCCAAAGUCACAACAACGGCCUUCAACACAGUUCACAGCUGGUGACAGUUUAACAUACAGUAGUGUGUGUGUGUGUGUGUGUGUGUGUGUGUGUGUGUGUGUGUGUGUGUGUGUGUGUGUGUGUGUGUGUGUGCGUGUGUAUGUCAGGCUUCCAGGUCAGCUCUGCUUCUUGCACAGGUCACUGGAACCUCUGCUCGUUGUGACAUACAUUACGUAAUCGCAGCAAGAAAAAAAGGGCUCAUGCAUGAUUUCAUGCCGAGAACGACCCAUGGGAUGAUUAGAAAGCCGGAUGUUUCAUCAGGACAUUUAAAUGUUGACGACUGUGUAAUUAAAGGCACUCGCGACCACAUGAAGUGUGAAUGCGCCUGAUUCUGCGUUCGCUAAAUCACAGCCUCUUCUUCUGAGGCGCUUGUUGCCGUGGGUAACAGGGCCGACGUUCUUCACCCAGAGCGUCGGUUCCUUUGAUUCAAUAUUCAGUAAAUUGCAGUGACACGCGUGAAGCAUUACAGUUUAUUUUGCCGACCCAGAUUAACUCCGCAUUUGCAUAUUCAUUAUCACACGGGCUCCAGCCGUGCCCAUGUACGGGCGCCAGUCAGCGCUUUCCCGCCGGAGCAGCCGGCAUCGCGGGGCUGCUUCCCAUUGGGCCGGUGCGCUGGCGUAGUGAAGAGCCGCAGGGUCAGAUGAGACACGAUGUGAGCUCAUUGGGUCGCCACACGGGUCAGCAGCAGUGUGUGCGUCACAGGAGGUCCACUCAUCCUGCAACGCCACCACUUCCUCCUCUUCUCAUGCCUGGUUUACGGU